UACGAAGGGUGCAAGCGUUACUCGGAAUUACUGGGCGUAAAGCGUGCGUAGGUGGUGAGUUAAGUCUGUCGUGAAAGCCCCGGGCUCAACCUGGGAAUGGCGAUGGAUACUGGCUCGCUAGAGUGCGGUAGAGGAGAGUGGAAUUCCCGGUGUAGCGGUGAAAUGCGUAGAGAUCGGGAGGAACACCGAUGGCGAAGGCAGCCCCCUGGGCUAACACUGACGCUCAGGCACGAAAGCGUGGGGAGC
rnacentral:rRNA from 1 species